rnacentral:rRNA from 1 species
AACGAACGCUGGCGGCAUGCCUAACACAUGCAAGUCGAACGAGACCUUCGGGUCUAGUGGCGCACGGGUGCGUAACGCGUGGGAACCUGCCCUUAGGUUCGGAAUAACUCCCCGAAAGGGGUGCUAAUACCGGAUAAUGUCUUCGGACCAAAGAUUUAUCGCCUUUGGAUGGGCCCGCGUUGGAUUAGCUAGUUGGUAGGGUAAAAGCAUACCAAGGCGACGAUGCAUGGCUGGUCUGAGAGGAGGAUCAGCCACACUGGAGCUGAGACACGGCCCAGACUCCUACGGGGAGGAGCAGUGGGGAAUAUUAGGCAAGGGGCGAAAGCCUGAUACAGCAGUGCCGCGUGAGUGAUGAAGGCCUUAGGGUUGUAAAGCUCUUUUACCCGGGAUGAUAAUGACGGUACCGGGAGAAUAAGCUCCGGCUAACUCCGUG